rnacentral:lncRNA from 1 species
AUUUCUCUUCUUUCCGGAGCACGAACGCCGCCGCCGGCCCGGAUAUCACCGUGUUCAGGACGGUCACCGUCGCCACUAGGCUGUAGAUGUCUUGCGCGUGCCACGACGUCAACUGAUCAGGUAAUGGAAACAAUCAGUAAUCAGUAAUGCUGUAAAUUAGAGUAAAGAUCAUACACAGAGAUCACAUGUUCAUCAUAGCUAAGCUCGCCUAUCCUUAAUUUCAACGUUCCAGAAAAAAACCCAAUUCUGCAAUUUCAAAAUUCAAACCUUAUCGUAGAAACUUACAAGAGCUUUCGGCAAAUUUCCGAUGAGCAGAAGUUCAGGAUGGCCUUUCAAAUUGAGGAGAAAGGCAAGAACAACACCUUCACUGGUGGGGAUCUUCAAGUAUCGACAAGCUAUAAGAGUGCCAAUGAUUUUGCCACCAGUACUCAGAAACAUCACCAGCACAACCACAAUCACAUUCCUGAAGCUUGAAAGGUACGCCACAUUGAACUGAAAUCCAGUAUAUCCGAAAAAAAUCGGAAGAACGAAUAUAUGAACAGCAUAGCUCAGCUUCCUCACCAAAGUCCUGGUACUCUUCCCUUGCUUAGGAAACAUCAACCCUACAACAAACGUCGAGAUCGUCGAGUUAAACCCCGACGCCUCGAUCAAAAACGCCAGCCCCAUCACCAGAAACAAGAACACCAAAACCUCCGCGUUCGUCACAUACUUCUGAUUCUGGUUCCUUCUAUUGCACCAGGCCACAAGGUACAUGUUGACCACAACUAGCGCCAUGGUGGCGAAGAGGAAGAGGCAUCCUUUCCAGAGCAUGUGUUUCGAGACGAAUAGGAGGAAAAUGCUGAACCAGAG